rnacentral:tRNA from 1 species
UUAAAUGAAUCUAAUAAUUAGAAAUUAAUUUCGGCUUAAUUUAAGGUUACAGAAAAUUACCCAUUUAAU